rnacentral:rRNA from 1 species
AUGCAAGUCGAGGGGCAGCGAGGGAGUGGCAACACUUCUGUCGGCGACCGGGGCACGGGUGAGUAACGCGUAUGCAACCUGCCCUUCACAGGGGGAUAACCGGGAGAAAUUCCGACUAAUACCGCAUACGUCCUCCGGGGGCAUCCCCGGGGGAUGAAAGAGUUAUCGGUGAAGGAUGGGCAUGCGUGAUAUUAGGUAGUUGGCGGGGCAACGGCCCACCUAGUCAACGAUGGAUAGGGGUUCUGAGAGGAAGGUCCCCCACAUUGGAACUGAGAGACGGUCCAAACUCC